rnacentral:lncRNA from 1 species
CCUGCCCUUACUUGGUGUAAGAACUCGAGCUGGAUCAGUGCCACGAUCCCCAGGCUUACUCACAGGGAAGCAGCCAGUGCUGGCUGAUGGGGGAGGAAGGAAAGGAACAGUGAAAGGGCUCCUUGUAGGCAGCAGCCCUCACCAACUUGGCUUUGGAUGUAACAUGAAACCUCACUCUCAAUAUCAGAACAACUGGCAUUAUCAGUCUGAGCACCCUGGAAAACAGAGGAGCAGCAGUAUACAUCACCAGAGGCUGCAGGAGAAUACUGGAAGCAGAGGAUGGGAUCUGCCGCCUGUACCAUGCAGCAAUCAGAGCUAUCCCUACUUGUUCUUUUGAGAUAAAACACACUUUUUAAUGCUUAGAUUUUAAUUACCUUUCUACUCAAUGUACAGGCUUGUAGAGGAGCCCACCCUGUUUUGUAUUUUCUUUAAAGGAUCCAUAAGUUCAAUACAAUGAGACCUAGCUUAGUAAAGAUAAGGAAAGGUUUCCCCAGGGAUGCUGUGGCAUGAAAGAGGUUUCUGUCAUGAUAUGGUCAUUCUAACAAAGCAGAGCAAUACAUGAGGGUUUCUCACCUUUAACUUGUUGGCA